UACGAAGGGAGCUAGCGUUGUUCGGAAUCACUGGGCGUAAAGCGCACGUAGGCGGAUGUGUCAGUCAGGGGUGAAAUCCCGGGGCUCAACCUCGGAACUGCCUUUGAUACAGCACGUCUUGAGUCCGAUAGAGGUGGGUGGAAUUCCUAGUGUAGAGGUGAAAUUCGUAGAUAUUCGCAAGAACACCAGUGGCGAAGGCGGGUCUCUGGACAGUUCCUGACGCUGAGGCACGAAGGUCAGGGGAGCAAACGGG
rnacentral:rRNA from 1 species